rnacentral:rRNA from 1 species
CACGGGGGGAGCAAGCGUUGUUCGGAAUCACUGGGCGUAAAGCGCACGUAGGCGGACUCUUAAGUCGGUGGUGAAAUCCUGGAGCUCAACUCCAGAACUGCCUUCGAUACUGAGAGUCUUGAGUCCGGGAGAGGUGAGUGGAACUGCGAGUGUAGAGGUGAAAUUCGUAGAUAUUCGCAAGAACACCAGUGGCGAAGGCGGCUCACUGGCCCGGUACUGACGCUGAGGUGCGAAAGCGUGGGGAGCAAACAGG